GGGGUCUGCCCCUUCACAUGGCGAUGUCUCCGGCAGGUCCCGGCCGCCCGGGCCACACAGGGGCAGCACCUGCGGUGGUCCUCUCCUUUAGAAGCAUUGCAUCUGCACUGCUGUGUGGGGAAGCCGAUAGAGAUUGCCGUGAGAUGACAGCGCUCCUUCAGUCAAACCACGUGAAUUUCCAGCACAGGAGCGUGGGACACUCAGGGCGAUGCGAUGUGAUGUGAUACAAAGGGUUUUUUCAGAGGCUCUUUCAAAAACUGCUACCGCUGUUCUUUCCCUCUCCUUCCACCUGAAGGUCGGUAAUACAGCUCUGCGUCCCCAGGGAUGGGGUUCAAAGGAGCCACAGAAAACCCUCAGGCUGACCUCAAACCAUUUUCUCAGUUUUCUUUAUGUGAGACUUGGGGGAUUUUGGAAGGAAUUUCCAAACACAACUAAAUACCAACAUGAGACAAAAUGGAUAUUACAAAUAACUCCUCGUAGAGGCUGAAAUUACUGAAAUGAACUGUCAGGAUUCUUAGAAAAUAUCAUAGAAUGGCCUGGGUUGAAAAGGACCAUGGUGAUCAUCGAGCUUCAACCCCCAAAUAUCAAACCUACUACAUUGGUUUUAAAGCUCGGAGUCAAGAAGAUGUUGGAAAUAAUAUACACUUUAGAGACAUUAUAAGUCAUCAAAACACUGUGCUGUGAAUAAAAGGCUUUCUCUUUUGUAACAACAUUUUAAAGACGUUUUGUGCUUUGCUUUCCUAAAGGCAACACUGCUUUUAUCGCUAGCAAAUUGGGAUGAGUACGUGCACGUGUUGUAUUGUGAUGGCAAAGGAGGUUCUUCCAUAGAGAAAUUAAUAAAUCUCUAAUUGAUCGUUGAGAA